UAUAUUCUUUUAUUACAAUCGCAGGAGAAACCCGCGAUAAGGGGACACUGAGUGCCAGCAUCUUAGAUUGGCUGUCCGCAUGUUUAAAAAGCAUGUGUUAGUAAGGGCUGGGCAAGACCGGUGCCAGCCGCCGCGGUAACACCGGCAGCCCGAGGGGGGAUCACUAUUAUUGGGUCUAAAGGGUCCGUAGCCGGUUUGAUCAGUCUUUUGGGAAAUCUGACAGCUUAACUGUUAGGCUUCCAAAGGAUACUGUCAAACUUGGGACCGGGAGAGGUAAGAGGUACUACAGGGGUAGGAGGGAAAUCUGGUAAUCCCUGUGGGACCACCAGUGGGGAAGGCGUCUUACCAAAACGGGUCCGACGGGGAGGGACAAAAGCUGGGGGCACAAACCGGAUUAGAUACCCGGGUAGUCCCAGCCGUAAACAAUGCUCGCUAGGUGUCAGGAAUGGGGCGACCGUUUCUGGGGCCGUAGGGAAGCCGUGAAGCGAGCCACCUGGAAGGUACGGCCGCAGGGUUGAAACUUAAAGGAAUUGGGGGGGGAAAGGGCGAAUUCGUUUAAACCUGCGGGAUUAGUCCCUUUUAGUGGGGGUUAUUUCUGAGCUUGGGGAAAUCUGGGCCAUAGCUGUUUUCUGGAG
rnacentral:rRNA from 1 species